rnacentral:tRNA from 1 species
CGGGAUGUAGCUCAGCCCGGUUAGAGUGCACGUCUGGGGGGCGUGAGGCCGGAGGUUCGAAUCCUCUCAUCCCGACAA